GAUGAAGAACGCAGCGAAAUGCGAUAAGUAAUGUGAAUUGCAGAAUUCAGAGAAUCAUCGAAUCUUUGAACGCACAUUGCGCCCGCGAGUAUUCUCGCGGGCAUGCCUGUCCGAGCGUCAUUUCAACCCUCAGGGCCCGCCUGCUUCGGCAGGCGCGGCGCUGGUGUUGGGGAUCGGCCUAACCGCCGUCCCCCAAAUACAGUGGCGGUCUCGCUGCAGCCUCCCCUGCGUAGUAGCAACACUCGCAUGCGGAGCGCGGCGCGGCCACGCCGUAAAACCCCCGACUUUCUGAACGUUGACCUCGGAUCAGGUAGGAAUACCCGCUGAACUUAAGCAUAUCAAUAAGCGGAGGA
rnacentral:misc_RNA from 1 species